CAAUUCACCUUUAGGGUUUCUCUCCCUCUCCCUUUCUCUCUCUCCCCGAGCUUCCCAUCUGGCUCCACAAUGGCGAACCGUACGGACCCGUUGGCGAAGAGCAUACGGGGGACGAAUCCCCAGAACCUGAUCGAGAAGAUCGUGCGGUCGAAGAUAUACCAGAACACCUACUGGAAGGAGCAGUGCUUCGGCCUCACGGCGGAGACCCUCGUCGACAAGGCCAUGGAGCUCGACCACAUCGGCGGCACCUUCGGGGGCAACCGCAAGCCCACCCCCUUCCUCUGCCUCGUCCUCAAGAUGCUCCAGAUCCAGCCCGAGAAGGACAUCGUCGUCGAGUUCAUCAAGAACGAGGAUUACAAGUAUGUUCGUGUACUCGGUGCCUUUUACUUGCGUCUCACAGGAAUAGAUAUGGAUGUUUAUCGAUAUUUGGAGCCUCUGUACAAUGACUAUCGCAAAGUGAGGCAAAAGUUAACUGGUGGAAACUUUGCCUUGACACACGUGGAUGAGAUCAUUGAUGAACUCUUGACGAAGGACUAUUCAUGUGAUAUCGCAAUGCCGCGCAUCAAGAAAAGAUGGACUCUUGAAUCAGCUGGUGCUCUAGAUCUCAGAAAAAGUGCUCUGGAAGAUGAUUUUGAGGAAGAGGAAGAGAAGGAAGAGAAUGAACAACUUGAUGAUGGGCUAGAAGAUGGUGCUCCUGAAAAGGACUAUUAUCGUGGACGAAGCCCAACAAGGGAAAGAGAUAGAGAUAGAGAUAGAGAUAGAAGGCGUGAUAGUCACCGACACAGAGAUCGAGAUUAUGACAGGGAUUAUGACAGAGACUAUGAUAGAGAACGUGGACGUGGACGGGAAAGAGAUAGAGAUAGAGAUAGAGACAGAGACAGGGAUAGGGAUAGGGACAGGGACAGGGACAGGGACAGAGACAGAGAUAGAGAUAGGGACAGAGACAGGGACCGGUAUCGUGUGAGAGAUGAAAGAGACUAUGGUCGUGAGAGGGAUCAUGAACGAGAAGGUAGAGAACGAGACAGGCGGGACAGAGAUCGUGGGCGGAGAAGGAGCCAGUCAAGAAGUCGAAGUAGGAGCAGGGACCGCAAGGACCGCGAUGGUGGGGAACACCGUAAGAGACAUGCUCGUGGCAGCACAAGUCCCAAAAGGCGUGGGCAUGAAGAUGGCCGAGAAGAGCCAAAGAAGAAGAAAGAGAAGAAGGAAAAGAAGGACGAUGGGACAGACCAUCCCGACCCAGAGAUUGCAGAAGCAAACAGGUUGCGAGCUUCUCUGGGAUUGAAACCGUUGAAGCUCUAGGCGUGACAGUUGCAAAGACAUUGAUUGAGUGAUUACCGACGUUGGUGCUUAGUCUGAUGGAAUGUCCAUAUUGCUAAUAUGCUGUCUUUACUGUAUAGAUUGAGCGGCUUUCAGCUGGCGUCUUGAGAUGGAUGAUGGAAUAUAUUACCGUCUUAUUCUCUUUGGUUGCAUGAUUGCGAGCUGUAGAUGUGAGUCACAUGGCUUGAGUUUCUCUUCAGAUCAUUUGAGAACUGGUGUAAUCAGUCCAGUGUACUACUUGUGUCCGCAAACAUUUGAUUUUAGGAUCUUACAAGACCGUGCUGUUUGUGUCCCUUGUUGAAAAAUUGAAAUACUGAGAUUGAUGCCA